CAACGAUCACUAAGUCAACAUGAUCAGACCUCUUCUCAUUGUCACUGUCCCACUAUUCUGGAUCACAGGUGUCUCUCUCAGUAAAUCAGUGUCCCAGUCUCCCUCCGCGUUGCUGGUAAAGCCUAAUACUUCUGUCACACUCAACUGCAGUCAUAAAAUCCCCAGCUAUGACACUAUCCUCUGGUACCAGCGUUCUGUGGGAGACACGGCCCUAAACCUCAUAGCGUAUACAAACUAUAAAACCCCUACAGUUGAACCCCCAUAUAAAGGUUAUUUUGAUGUGACAGGAGAUGGAGAGAAUGAUGCCUACCUUCAUCUCCUCAAACUGAGACAAGCUGAAGACAGUGGGGAGUAUUUCUGUGCAGCCA